rnacentral:rRNA from 1 species
UGGGGAAUCUUGCACAAUGGGCGAAAGCCUGAUGCAGCAACGCCGCGUGCGGGAAGACAGCCCUAGGGUUGUAAACCGCUUUCAGCAGGGAAGAAACUGACGGUACCUGCAGAAGAAGAUGCGGCCAACUACGUGCCAGCAGCCGCGGUGACACGUAGGCAUCAAGCGUUAUCCGGAUUUAUUGGGCGUAAAGAGCUCGUAGGCGGUUCGGUAAGUCGGGUGUGAAAACUCUGGGCUCAACCCAGAGAGGCCACUCGAUACUGCUGUGACUAGAGUGCGGUAGGGGAGCGGGGAAUUCCUGGUGUAGCGGUGAAAUGCGCAGAUAUCAGGAGGAACACCAGUGGCGAAGGCGCCGCUCUGGGCCGUAACUGACGCUGAGGAGCGAAAGCAUGGGUAGCAAACAGGAUUAGAUACCCUGGUAGUCCAUGCCGUAAACGUUGGGCACUAGGUGUGGGUCUCAACCGAACGAGAUCCGCGCCGU